rnacentral:rRNA from 1 species
GACGAACGCUGGCGGCGUGCUUAACACAUGCAAGUCGAACGGAAAGGCCCUGCUUUUGUGGGGUGCUCGAUUGGCGAACGGGUGAGUAACACGCGAGUAACCUGCCCUUGACUGUCGGAUAACUUCAGGAAACUGGGGCUAAUAUCGGAUAUGAGCUCCUGCUGCAUGGUGGGGGUUGGAAAGUUUCGGCGGUUGGGGAUGGACUCGCGGCUUAUCAGCUUGUUGGUGGGGUAGUGGCUUACCACGGCUUUGACGGGUAGCCGGCCUGAGAGGGUGACCGGCCACCUUGCGCCUGCGAUACGGCCCAGACUCCUACGGGAGGCAGCAGUGGGGAAUAUUGCACAAUGGGCGGAAGCCUGAUGUAGCAACGCCGCGUGCGGGAUGCCCGCCUACGGGUUGUAAACCGCUUUCGCCUGUGCCGAAGCCUGCGUGACGGUAAUGGGUCAAGAAGCACCGGCUAACUACGUG